ACUGGCGGCUCCCACUCCAUAUUUGUGGAAACAUGUCACCUCCUCAGUCUGGUGUCCAUGUCUCUGUGACGGUUCACAAGCCAACAGCACCAUGUGCCAGAGGUUAACUACAUGUUGACCCAGCACACGGAGGCCAUUCUGGAUACAGUUGGUGACAGUCCACUAAUCGUAUCCGUUGGCUCUUAUACCAUCCUGGACUCUGCUUCCCCCAGGAGACUGUUCUUCCUUUGGCUCUUACACCAUCAUGGACUCUGCUUCCCCCAGGAGACUGUUCUUCCUUUGGCUCUCACACCAUCCUGAACUCUGCUUCCCCAGGAGACUGUUCUUCCUUUGGCUCUCACACCAUCAUGGACUCUGCUUCCCCCAGGAGACUGUUCUUCCUUUGGCUCUUACACCAUCAUGGACUCUGCUUCCCCAGGAGACUGUUCUUCCUUUGGCUCUCACACCAUCCUGAACUCUGCUUCCCCAGGAGACUGUUCUUCCUUUGGCUCUUACACCAUCAUGGACUCUGCUUCCCCCAGGAGACUGUUCUUCCUUUGGCUCUUACACCAUCAUGGACUCUGCUUCCCCAGGAGACUGUUCUUCCUUUGCCUCUCACACCAUCAUGGACUCUGCUUCCCACCUGAUCCUCCCCCAGGAGACUGUGCAGGCGAUGUGAGGAAUAGUUACUGUUUGGAGACAGAGGGAUUAGAGAGAUGUCUGCAACACAUUGAGGCCCACGGAUGCAGUAUUCAAACCCUGGCCACUGACAGGCAUCCAAGUGUGAGGGUGACCUUGAGGGACUCACCUGCUGAUAUCUGGCAUGAGUAUGACCUGUGACCUGGUGGCCGUCGGGAAGCCAGAGGACCAUCCCAGCAGACUCUCCUGACUGCCCAAAGAGAGAGAGUGCCCAUCACUUUGGGAGGUGGGCUGGUGUUCCCGAAAAUGGAUAAGGAGCAGGCCAUUCAACAGCGAAUUCAAAGAUGCACACAUCUAUAAAUACAUAAAUGUACAGUGCCUUGCAAAAGUAUUCAUCCCACUUGGCAUUUUUCCUAUUUUGUUGCAUUACAACCUGUCAUCUAAAUGGAUUGUUAUUUGGAUUUCAUGUAACACAAAAUAGUCCAUAUUGGUGAAUUUCAAUGAAAAAAAUGACUUGUUUUUCCUAAAAAUACAAAAAGGAAAAGUG